AUUCUAUCAUACGAAACCCUAACCUCCCCGCAAGCUUCUAUCAUACGCUUUCCUGAGAUGCUUCUUCUUCUUCUACCUGCAUCUCAUUCUCUCUGAGUCACUUGUGCUUGAAUGGCUUAACAAAGGAUUCCAAAAUCAAGCUUAUUCACGAAGGUUUUAAUUUUUUGAUCGUUCGUUCUUCUGUGAAACCCUAACGGUGUAUUAAGAUUUUAAUCAAAACCAACUGUUUGAUCCAUCUUGUGGUUCAAUCGUAUGUUUAUCUUUGUGCAUCUUGUGUUUAUUUUGCUUAUUUUCUAUUCUAAUUGCUUCUAAACUACCCCCGAUUUCUUCAAGCUUUUGUUAAUUGACUCAUACAACAGUCCCUGCAUAUUUUCAAUUUCUAUGAUCCUUGAUCAAAAGAUGAUUGCUAGACUAACAACGAUUAUAUGGAUCAAUUCAUUUUAGGGCUGGUAAAACUCGCUUUUACGAUCUGUUAGGGUUUCAAUUCAUUUGUUGUUUUAAAUGCACAAUAAAUUCAAAAUAUGAUUUGAACGAUUAGAGUUCUUGAUAUAUAUUAUUACACACUGACACAUUUAUUGUUGAUUGAAGAAAAUUGUGAAGUUGGAAAUUAAUUGAUAAGGGUUUUAUCUUUGAAUAAAAUUGUUUUUUUUCUAGAACGUUUUUUGAUAAAUUAGAUGUCUUUUAUUGAUCAUACUCAAUUCAUGGGAGAUGCGAAUGACUACACAAUUUUAUGGUCGUGAAGGCUGGGCAACAUUAUUCUUUAUUGCAGGUAUGUUUGUGUCCAGUGAGAAGCUCACGUCUAGCGAUUAGCAGCGGGUUAUGCUAAAACGGGUUGGUUUGAGCCAAAACAUUUUUUUAUCUCAUUAUGUUUGAUGGUUGUUGAGUGGGUUGGUUUGUUGUGAUGUGUUUAGGAUGAAUAGAGGAAGUUAAAUUGGGCAUGGAUGUUGUAUCUGCAGAUAGAGAUACUGGAGGGAUGCACUGGAUGCGAAAAAGGAGGCUUUGAUUCGGUUUCUUCAGAAUGGGUCGUUGGAGAUUGUUGGAGGUGAUGUGGUGAUGAAUGAUGAGUAUUUAAUCAUAAAUUAUAAGAGCACGAAUGUAUUAUGCUGAACUUGAUUGCUCAUGGUGGAUUAUUUAUGAUACAUAUAUUUUACAGUCUCGAAAGGCGAAUGUCU
rnacentral:lncRNA from 1 species